rnacentral:rRNA from 1 species
GAUGAACGCUGGCGGCGUGCCUAAUACAUGCAAGUCGAGCGAACAGACGAGGAGCUUGCUCCUCUGACGUUAGCGGCGGACGGGUGAGUAACACGUGGAUAACCUACCUAUAAGACUGGGAUAACUUCGGGAAACCGGAGCUAAUACCGGAUAAUAUAUUGAACCGCAUGGUUCAAUAGUGAAAGACGGUUUUGCUGUCACUUAUAGAUGGAUCCGCGCCGCAUUAGCUAGUUGGUAAGGUAACGGCUUGCCAAGGCAACGAUGCGUAGCCGACCUGAGAGGGUGAUAGGCCACACUGGAACUGAGACACGGUCCAGACUCCUACGGGAGGCAGCAGUAGGGAAUCUUCCGCAAUGGGCGAAAGCCUGACGGAGCAACGCCGCGUGAGUGAUGAAGGUCUUCGGAUCGUAAAACUCUGUUAUUAGGGAAGAACAAAUGUGUAAGUAACUAUGCACGUCUUGACGGUACCUAAUCAGAAAGCCACGGCUAACUACGUG